AGCGGGGGACAACAUUUGGAAACAGAUGCUAAUACCGCAUAACAACGUUGUUCGCAUGAACAACGCUUAAAAGAUGGCUUCUCGCUAUCACUUCUGGAUGGACCUGCGGUGCAUUAGCUUGUUGGUGGGGUAACGGCCUACCAAGGCGAUGAUGCAUAGCCGAGUUGAGAGACUGAUCGGCCACAAUGGGACUGAGACACGGCCCAUACUCCUACGGGAGGCAGCAGUAGGGAAUCUUCCACAAUGGGCGCAAGCCUGAUGGAGCAACACCGCGUGAGUGAAGAAGGGUUUCGGCUCGUAAAGCUCUGUUGUUAAAGAAGAACACGUAUGAGAGUAACUGUUCAUACGUUGACGGUAUUUAACCAGAAAGUCACGGCUAACUACGUGCCAGCAGCCGCGGUAAUACGUAGGUGGCAAGCGUUAUCCGGAUUUAUUGGGCGUAAAGAGAGUGCAGGCGGUUUUCUAAGUCUGAUGUGAAAGCCUUCGGCUUAACCGGAGAAGUGCAUCGGAAACUGGAUAACUUGAGUGCAGAAGAGGGUAGUGGAACUCCAUGUGUAGCGGUGGAAUGCGUAGAUAUAUGGAAGAACACCAGUGGCGAAGGCGGCUACCUGGUCUGCAACUGACGCUGAAACUCGAAAGCAUGGGUAGCGAACAGG
rnacentral:rRNA from 1 species